UACGGUGGGGGCAAGCGUUGUUCGGAAUUACUGGGCGUAAAGGGCUCGUAGGCGGCCAACUAAGUCAGACGUGAAAUCCCCAGGCUCAACCUGGGAACUGCGUCUGAUACUGGAUGGCUUGAAUCCGGGAGAGGGAUGCAGAAUUCCAGGUGUAGCGGUGAAAUGCGUAGAUAUCUGGAGGAAUACCGGUGGCGAAGGCGGCAUCCUGGACCGGCAUUGACGCUGAGGAGCGAAAGCUAGGGGAGCAAACGGG
rnacentral:rRNA from 1 species